rnacentral:lncRNA from 1 species
GCUUGGAAACUUCCUGUGAUGCUAGAGAAGAUGGAUCUCAGUGUUAUGGAGCUCUGGGAGGAACUGUCUAUCUCCAGCUGACUGAUACCAUGGCAUAUAAUCACUACUCAUUUUAUAAAGGCUCAACUGGUGCUAAAACAGAGAURCUGAAAAYRAAGGYCACACUGGUAAYAAGAGACACCCCMAUUARAGACMGAGUACACUUCUUUAUAAACAAUGGGACAUUUAGGUUAAAUAACACACAAAGGAAUGAUUCUGGUGAAUACCUGCUCACAAAAUAUGAUUCAGAAGGGAAAACAUCAGGGACCAUAGGACUACAACUGUUAAUCGAAGAUAAAUAACUAACUUGCCAAAUAAUUAUUACAAAUGAUAACUUUGACAAGCUAUUGCUCUGGCUAAACUACAAAUAUGUGACUACCUAAUAAUACAAAUAAUGAGAAAUGCAUUUUAUGUGUAACCAUGGAGUCAUUUUUAUUUUCAUAGUCUACUGUAGUUGGUACAUAGUCAUAACCACAUCCAUCAACAUUAAAUCAUCUGUUGUUUAUUUGAAAUACAGUCAUUAUGUGUCAUGAAUCUGCUGCUCCUGUUGACUACAGUAGUUUCUGUGGCUUUAAAGAAGAAUGGCUGGUGUUGUGUUGUAAUGUGUUUUUCCCUCUUACUACAGUUACAUAUCCUUCUUCCCCCACAGCUCCAGUGUCCAGUCCUCAGCUGUCCUCUGAGUGUCUGUCUCAUGGAGAGAUGAGGGUGUCCUGCUCCUCUGAGGGGGAUGGUUCCCAGUACAGCUGGACUCUGGAUCGACAGACGCUGAGACACACUAAGGCCUCUUCUGAUAACGAGACAAACACCAUCACUCUGAAGAAAGGCCUGUCAGGAAAUCUCACCUGUACCGUCAGAAACUACAUCAGCAGUGAUUCUAUCAGCAAGAGAAUCUCACCUUGUCCAGGAGUCAGUGUGUUUGUUUAUUUCCAACUCGCUGAAGUCUUCAUUCUUCUGACAGUCUGUCUGGGAUCAUACUGUUUCUACAAGAAGGAAACCUAUCAUCGUAAAGAAGCCACAGACAUGGUGACCACCUGUAAUGCUACUCAGAACUUAUCCCAGUGUUCUGUUGUUCUGGAUGGAACUCUGGAUGUCUAGCUAAUGACCAACGCUAGUGGACGGGAACUGCUGUUUAAAAAGAACCUCUGAACCACAGGUGGCCAGUGUGAAAAAUUCUAUGACGUACACUUUUAGAUUUCUCCAAAUGUUCAGAUUUUCACACUCAACUUCACACUUUUUAACAUAAAAACAAAAAACAAAUUAUGUUCUAAGCCCAUAACAAUUCUUAAACCACAUCAGGAGAUAACUUUUGACGUCUGCACACUUACCCCAAAAGUGUGCAGACACCUAGCAAUGUUGUUUAGUUUGCAGUGUUUCUGUAGCACAUGAGAUGGAGUUUGCAAAGGAAAUGGCUACUGGUUUGAUGCAAAUAAUCAUGAUAUCAUUCUGACAGGUAGGCAUAAGCUACUUUGGAGCUACUGUAGUCAACAUUUAAUAGAGAGUUAACAUUUAAUACAGGUUUUUGGGAAAGCCUUUCCAUCUACCAGAAGACGGUUAUGCCUAUCAUUACCAUUGCUAUAUUUUUCCUUUUCCUUAAUUGUUUGAAACCUGGACAUUUUACUUCAUAUUAUGAGGAUGACUUACCUUGAAAGUAGCCCAUCACCAAAAUCCCACCAUAGAAACGUGGAGGAUAAUGCCUUCGACAUUAUCCUCACAUCUCCAUCUGAACCGAAAAUGAUUUGCAUUGAUACCCCCCCCCCCUUUGUUUUUACACUGCUGCUACUCGCUGUUUACUAUCGAUGCAUAGUCACUUUACCCUUACCUAUAUGUACAAAUGACCUCGAUUAACCUGUACUCCUGCACAUUCACUCGGUACCGGUACCCCAAGUAUAUAGCCUCAUUAUUGUCAUUUUAUUGUGUUCAUUUUUUAAAUGAAUUGUUUAACUUUAUUUAUUUAGUAAAUAUUUUGUUAACAUUUUGUUAAAACUGCAUUCUUGGUUUAGGGCUUGUAAGUAAGCAUUUCACAGUAAAGUCUACACCUGUUGUAUUCGGCGCAUGUGAAAAAACAUUACCAGAUUGAAACAAACCUUCCAUAGUUUACUAGACUGUAGAAAGCAGUGACAGAAUGUGAAACUAAUAAUGAGUCUGUGGAAGGUCUAUACCAUAAGAGGGAUUUCUGUGUCAAAUGGUUGAGAAUGUGGACUUCAUUACAUUCAGAAUAACCUAGGUCACACUUUACAUUAUGUUGCACUGAUAUGUCAACAGGAAUUGCUCAACUGAUUUGCUCUGUAAAUAAACCCAUCUCUCAUAGCAAAAGUCUAAUUUGAUUUAGUCCUAUUCUUUACUUUUCAUUUGAACUUAACUUAAUUUUUUAAACUUUCGACAAGUAAACAACUUAUAUGUUAGGAUCACAUCUCCAUCUCAACCAAAAAUGUAUAUUAAGGAAGAAGAUUAAGCCAGUGGCUCAGAUGAAACUAUCCAAGCACCUUUAAAUGUUGAUAUUUGGUUGUGUUGUCAACCAAUCACAAUUCAAUAUUACUAAUGUAAGAUAGUAAAUGGUCUACAGCGGGGGUGUCAAACUCAUUCCAUGGAGAGCCUCGUGUCCGCAGGUUUUUGGGUUUUCCUUUCAAUUAAGCCAUAGACAACCAGGUGUGGGGAGUUCCUUACUAAUUAGUGAAAUUAAUUCAUCAAUCAAGUACAAUGGAGGAGAGAAAACCCGCAGACACUCAGACCUCCAUGGAAUGAGUUUGACACCUGUGGCCUAAAGAGUAACACAUCCAUGGCCACAUUUUGAGGUUACUGUCACUAUAAUGUCUUCUUAUGUAAUCAUGGAAAGUGUUCAUGUUCAAGAUAGCAUGCAAAGGUCACAGGUCUGUGGAGAUAUUCGCAAUUGCUAUAAUAAAGAAUCUCAAACAAUAUUGUUCACUUGCACUAUACAUCGUGUGCACACUUUUAAUGUAAUCUCAACUGCAAUCCACGUCUUUUGGUUGUACUAUAAGAUGAUGCACUGUGAAAAUACAUAAAGUUGUUUGUUACAGGUUUUAGUUUGUCAAUUUAUGUUUAGAGGUUGGAUUCUGGCACAUAUAGCUUGUUAGCACGUAGGGCGCAGAUUGCCGUUAUUCGUUAGUCAGUAUGUGUUACACCUGUGCUGGUUGCCAUCUUGUUAGUGGGAAGGUGUUUCACCUGUGCUGGCCCAGGUGCUAUUUAAGAGUGGCUCCAGUUGUAUUGAUAGAUGUGGAGGGUUAAUCUAUUUUGUUAGUGUGCCUUAGUUUGAGGUCUAGACAAACAGUCCUUUAUUUGAUCUUCCCUGUUUUUGUUUCUCACCACUUUUUGGUUUGCUUUGCUUUCUGUCUGGUGUGGGUUUUUCUCUUGUUUGCCUCUUCUUGGGCAAAUUUAGUGGGCGCUCAUGGUGGGUGUCUUUUAGGUUCCAGUUGUUGUUGCUCGUCAACUUUCAGUGGACACCCCCAUGAGUGUCGUUCAGAACCCCACCGGUUUUGUUUUAGUUGUUGUCAGUGACUUUUUGUUAGUUCCCCUUUCUGUUUGAGCUACAUUAUUUGGUUUUCUAGUUGGGGAACGUAACAUAUUGUAUAAAUAAACAAAAUAUCUGUCAUU